rnacentral:rRNA from 1 species
GACGAACGCUGGCGGCGUGCCUAAUACAUGCAAGUAGAACGCACAGUUUAUACCGUAGCUUGCUCCAACAUAGACUGUGAGUUGCGAACGGGUGAGUAACGCGCAGGUAACCUGCCUGGUAGCGGGGGAUAACUAUUGGUAACGAUCGCUAUUACUGCCUAAUAUUAAUUAUUGCAUGAUAAUUAAUUGAAAGGAUCAAUUGCACCACUACCAGAUGGUCCUGCGUUGUAUUAGCUAGUAGGUGAGGUAACGGCUCACCUAGGCGACGAUACAUAGCCGACCUGAGAGGGUGAUCGGCCACACUGGGACUGAGGCACAGCCCAGUCUUCUACGGGAGGCAGCAGUAGGGAAUCUUCGGCUAUGGACGAAAAUCUGAACGAGCAACGGCACGUGAGAGAAGAAGGUUUUCGGAUCGUAAAGCUCUGUUAUAAGAGAAGAACGGGUGUGAGAGUGGAAAGUUCACACUGUGACGGUAUCUUACCAGAAAGGGACGGCUAACUACGUG